rnacentral:lncRNA from 1 species
CUGGAAAUGAAGGUGCACUUUCCUGCCAGCUCCAGGGAGAUGGGCCUCAGAGUUCGCCAGCCAUUGGCCUUAUCAUCCAGCUCUGAGAGCUCCUCAGAAAACGUAGAGAGUCACUGCGUCCAUCAGGAGAAGCAAUUUAAGAGAAUGCCAAGAAAUGGCAGAAGCACAUGGGAAAAGCAUAUACUCUGUAUGUGCCUGUGCAAGUGUGUACGUUUGUGGAGUAUUUUGGGGG